rnacentral:rRNA from 1 species
UGGGGAAUCUUGCGCAAUGGGCGAAAGCCUGACGCAGCGACGCCGCGUGCGGGAAGAAGGCCUUCGGGUUGUAAACCGCUUUCAGGAGGGACGAAGCCACUCGGGUUAAUAGCCUAGAGGGUGACGGUACCUCCAGAAGAAGCCCCGGCUAACUACGUGCCAGCAGCCGCGGUAAUACGUAGGGGGCUAGCGUUGUCCGGAUUUAUUGGGCGUAAAGAGCGUGUAGGCGGCCAGGUAGGUCUGGUGUGAAAACUCGAGGCUUAACCUCGAGAUGUCAUCGGAAACCAUUUGGCUAGAGUCCGGAAGAGGAAAGUGGAAUUCCUGGUGUAGCGGUGAAAUGCGCAGAUAUCAGGAAGAACACCAAUGGCGAAGGCAGCUUUCUGGGACGUACUGACGCUGAGACGCGAAAGCGUGGGAGCGAACAGGAUUAGAUACCCUGGUAGUCCACGCCGUAAACGAUGGGCGCUAGGUGUGGGCGGUGUCGACUCCGUCCGUGCCGAAGCUAACGCUAA